AGACGGUAGACACAGAUCUCUAUGUGAGGAGAAGACAGCGCCCGACUGCUUCCAGGAGAUACCGUGAGGGUCACCGGCCUGAAACAGCUACCCAGCCUGAGACCGACAGUACUUAGAGCAGUUGCUGCUCCAGCUUCCAUGGCGUGUGGUGGCAGCUUGCAGAACUUAGUGGCAUCGCAGCCCUCCUGGAGGAGACCUGGAGUGAAUCAAGGGGUUUGGUGGGGUGGGAUGGGAUUAGGGCAUCUUUAUAGGAGUACCUGGGUGAGGGGAGGAGAAACACUUAGUAUUGCAGUUCUGCUGUGGGUAGGGCAAAAAGCUUUCCCUGUGCUGAGGUCAGGUCAGGUACAUUUGUUGUUUCUUGAGAAUAGACACCCCAUCUUGUUUGUGCAGCUGCAGUCUUAACUUAAUCAAAAAUUCGCUGGCUGGAGACUGCUGCUCCGCAGCAAGCCCUUCCUUGCUCCUCUCAGCAGCCACAGCUUUCCACACAGCUGGUGGGCCUGGCAAGCACCAUUUGACACUGAGAGAAAAAGCCAAUGCCUAAAAAACAGAAGGCAGAAUCUCAAGAAACACCAGAUGAUUUGGCCUGGCCAGUUUUCGAGCACACCACUAAAAUAAGUGCCUGCUUCAGGCACUUUGCAGAAUGCAAAGCUAUUCCACAGUCUGAGAACUGCCGGCACUGACAGCUGCCUGGCAUGAC